GGAGAGAUGGCAGAGUGGCCGAAUGCGCAUCAUUGCUAAUGAUGUGUCCCUCUAAAGGGGACCGGGGGUUCGAAUCCCCCUCUCUCCG
rnacentral:tRNA from 1 species